CUAGGAUUACAGGCGUGAGCCGCCGCGCCCGGCCAAUGUAGUCCUUUUUCAUCAACAGUUUCUGUUCAAGGUGGACUUUGAUACAUAGCCUGUGAAGCACUUGCAGAGGAGAAGUUGGGGAAAGAGAGAGAGCCUUCCUCCAGGUGCAUAAAUGAAAGAGACAACUCACCACCUGGAGCACUGUUAACAUACAUGGGCAGAGACACUGUUUGCCAAACGGCCCAGAAGUAAGGUUAGAGCAAGUUUGAAGAGUCUUGUAGAAUUGGAGAGCAAUGAGGAAUGAAAUUCUUCCAGAUCCACAAAGCUCCAUAGGCAGAUACUCAACUUCUUCAAGCAAACAAUCCAGAAAGUUACCCAGAAAAAGAAGGGAAGAGGGAAGGAGAAAUGAGACACAUCUCUAGGUUCUGAAGCAGAGGACACCGAGCCAACAAAUUUCCAGAGAAAUGGCUACACUGGAGCAUAGUCACCCUCACAAUAUUCUCCUUUCCUGUGAGUGACAUGGAACAGGUAGGGAGCUCAGUCCUAAAAUGCAAUGAUAGGUGUCUCCAGUAUUUAUGUGAACCGCUGAUGAACA